AUAAGGGCGUAUGGGGAAUGCCUAGGCUCUCAGAGGCGAUGAAGGACGUGAUAAGCUGCGAAAAGCCGCGGGGAUCGGCACACACGAAUUGAUCCGCGGGUAUCCGAAUGGGGCAACCCGGCAUAUUGAAGAUAUGCCAUCCCGCAAGGGGGGCAAACCCGGUGAACUGAAACAUCUAAGUAGCCGGAGGAGGAGAAAACAAAAGUGAUUCCGAUAGUAGCGGCGAGCGAAAUCGGAUUGGCCCAAACCAAUGUUGUCUCGGCAAUAUUGGGGUUGUAGGACCACGAUGUUGGACGUGCGAUGAACUGGAAUACCUUGGAAAGGGUAACCGUAGAGGGUGACAGUCCCGUAUAGGUAAAGAACAUUGUCCAUAGUGGUAUCCUGAGUAGUGCGGGGCACGUGAAACCCUGUAUGAAUCCGGCGGGACCAUCCGCCAAGGCUAAAUACUCCUGAGAGACCGAUAGAGAACCAGUACCGUGAGGGAAAGGUGAAAAGAACCGUGAAUAACGGAGUGAAAAAGAUCCUGAAACCAUACGCCUACAAGCGGUCGGAGCAGUGCUUGCACUGUGACGGCGUGCCUUUUGCAUAAUGAGCCUACGAGUUACUUUUACUGGCAAGGUUAAGUCCUUCAGGGACGGAGCCGUAGCGAAAGCGAGUCUUAAUAGGGCGCCACAGUCAGUAGUAGUAGACGCGAAACCGUGCGAUCUACCCAUGGGCAGGUUGAAGCUGUGGUAACACACAGUGGAGGACCGAACCCGUUGACGUUGAAAAGUCUUGGGAUGACCUGUGGGUAGGGGUGAAAGGCCAAUCAAGCUCGGAAAUAGCUCGUACUCCCCGAAAUGCAUUUAGGUGCAGCGUGUAGAUAGUUUCAUAGAGGUAGAGCUACUGAUUGGAUGCGGGGGCUUCACCGCCUACCAAUUCCUGACAAACUCCGAAUGCUAUGAAAUGUUUCUGCGCAGUGAGGGCAUGGGUGCUAAGGUCCAUGUCCGAAAGGGAAAGAACCCGGACCAUCGGCUAAGGUCCCAAAGUGUGUGCUAAGUUGACAAAACGCGGUGGAACUGCAUUGACAGCCAGGAUGUUGGCUUGGAAGCAGCCAUUCAUUUAAAGAGUGCGUAACAGCUCACUGGUCGAGCGGUUCCGCAUGGAUAAUGAUCGGGCAUAAGCACACCACCGAAGCCAUGGCUUCCAUCGUAAGAUGGAGGGGUAGGGGAGCAUUGUAGUGCCGCUGAAGGCGUACCUGCGAGGGAUGCUGGAGGAGCUACAAACGAAAAUGUAGGCAUAAGUAACGAUAAUGUGGGCGAGAAACCCACACGCCGAAAGACCAAGGUUUCCCCAGCUAUGCUAAUCAGCUGGGGGUCAGUCGGGACCUAACGCAGACCCGAAGGGGGAAGUGGAUGGGCAACAGGUCAAUAUUCCUGUACCCGCUCGCAUUGAAAGCGACGGAGGCGAGGAGUUGGUGCGUGCAGACGGAAUUGCACGUUGAAGCGAGUGGCAACACCGCGAUAGUACACCGAGGCUACGGCCGAGGUGAUAAUCCAGCGUAUCGACUUCCAAGAAAAGCAAGCGAAGCGGCCCGUACCCUAAACCGACACAGGUGGUUGGGAUGAGAAUUCUAAGGCGCUCGAGAGAUUCAUGGCUAAGGAACUAGGCAAAAUAGACCCGUAACUUCGGGAGAAGGGUCGCCCUGACGGUAAUACGUCAGGGCCGCAGUGAAGAGGUCCAGGCGACUGUUUAUCAAAAACACAGGGCUCUGCUAAAUCGAGAGAUGAAGUAUAGGGCCUGACACCUGCCCGGUGCUGGAAGGUUAAGAGGAGAUGUCAUCUUCGGAGAAGCAUUGAAUUGAAGCCCCAGUAAACGGCGGCCGUAUAAACGGCGGCCGUAACUAUAACGGUCCUAAGGUAGCGAAAUUCCUUGUCGGGUAAGUUCCGACCUGCACGAAUGGUGCAACGAUCUGGACACUGUCUCGGCCAUGAGCUCGGUGAAAUUGUAGUAUCGGUGAAGAUGCCGGUUACCCGCAGUGGGACGAAAAGACCCCGUGCACCUUUACUAUAGCUUCGUAUUGACCUUGGUCAAGCAAUGUGUAGGAUAGCUGGGAGACUUUGAGGCCGCAUCGCCAGGUGUGGUGGAGUCGUUGUUGAAAUACCAGCCUUUGCUUGUCCGGGGCCUAACCCUCCAAGAGGGGACAGUGCGUGGUGGGUAGUUUGACUGGGGUGGUCGCCUCCAAAAGAGUAACGGAGGCUUCUAAAGGUGCCCUCAAUACGGUUGGCAAUCGUGUGUAGAGUGCAAUGGCACAAGGGCGCUUGACUGUGAGACAUACAGGUCGAACAGGUUGGAAACCCUGGGGCUGGAGAAGGUCCCAAGGGUUGGGCUGUUCGCCCAUUAAAGUGGCACGCGAGCUGGGUUCAGAACGUCGUGAGACAGUUCGGUCUCUAUCUACUGCGGGCGUUAGAAAUCUGCGUGGACCUGACCCUAGUACGAGAGGACCGGGUCGGACCGACCGCUGGUGCACCAGUUGUCCCGCCAGGGGCAUCGCUGGGUAGCUAUGUCGGGAUUGGAUAAGCGCUGAAAGCAUAUAAGCGCGAAACCAGCCACAAGAUGAGAUUUCUUUAAAGGGCCGUGGGAGAUGACCACGUUGAUAGGCCAUAGGUGCAGGGGCAGUAAUGUCCGUAGCCGAGUGGUACUAAUUGCCCGUUGGGCUUGCGC
rnacentral:rRNA from 1 species